AUCACUUCUCGGCCUUUUGGCUAAGAUCAAGUGUAGACAACACAGAUGAAAUUUUAUUCUUUAUUUCCUUGUUUUUUUCUUUUUGAUAAAUUAUGCAGGUGCCAAUUAUAUUAACUCUUUGGAGGCUUUCUCACAAU
ensembl:snRNA U2 U2 spliceosomal RNA